CCCAGUGGUUCAGUGGUAAAGAAUCUGCCUGCAGUGCAGAAGCCACAGGAGAUGCAGGUUCAAUCCCUGCGCUGGGA
rnacentral:tRNA from 1 species